rnacentral:rRNA from 1 species
UCUUCACAUAUAAAAGAAGUUUACAGUCCUAGAACCGUCAUCCUUCACGCGGUGUCGCUCCGUCAGGCUUGCGCCCAUUGCGGAAAAUUCCUCA